rnacentral:rRNA from 1 species
GUUAAGCGACUAAGCGUACACGGUGGAUGCCCUGGCAGUCAGAGGCGAUGAAGGACGUGCUAAUCUGCGAUAAGCGUCGGUAAGGUGAUAUGAACCGUUAUAACCGGCGAUUUCCGAAUGGGGAAACCCAGUGUGUUUCGACACACUAUCAUUAACUGAAUCCAUAGGUUAAUGAGGCGAACCGGGGGAACUGAAACAUCUAAGUACCCCGAGGAAAAGAAAUCAACCGAGAUUCCCCCAGUAGCGGCGAGCGAACGGGGAGCAGCCCAGAGCCUGAAUCAGUGUGUGUGUUAGUGGAAGCGUCUGGAAAGGCGCGCGAUACAGGGUGACAGCCCCGUACACAAAAAUGCACAUGCUGUGAGCUCGAUGAGUAGGGCGGGACACGUGGUAUCCUGUCUGAAUAUGGGGGGACCAUCCUCCAAGGCUAAAUACUCCUGACUGACCGAUAGUGAACCAGUACCGUGAGGGAAAGGCGAAAAGAACCCCGGCGAGGGGAGUGAAAAAGAACCUGAAACCGUGUACGUACAAGCAGUGGGAGCACGCUUAGGCGUGUGACUGCGUACCUUUUGUAUAAUGGGUCAGCGACUUAUAUUCUGUAGCAAGGUUAACCGAAUAGGGGAGCCGAAGGGAAACCGAGUCUUAACUGGGCGUUAAGUUGCAGGGUAUAGACCCGAAACCCGGUGAUCUAGCCAUGGGCAGGUUGAAGGUUGGGUAACACUAACUGGAGGACCGAACCGACUAAUGUUGAAAAAUUAGCGGAUGACUUGUGGCUGGGGGUGAAAGGCCAAUCAAACCGGGAGAUAGCUGGUUCUCCCCGAAAGCUAUUUAGGUAGCGCCUCGUGAAUUCAUCUCCGGGGGUAGAGCACUGUUUCGGCAAGGGGGUCAUCCCGACUUACCAACCCGAUGCAAACUGCGAAUACCGGAGAAUGUUAUCACGGGAGACACACGGCGGGUGCUAACGUCCGUCGUGAAGAGGGAAACAACCCAGACCGCCAGCUAAGGUCCCAAAGUCAUGGUUAAGUGGGAAACGAUGUGGGAAGGCCCAGACAGCCAGGAUGUUGGCUUAGAAGCAGCCAUCAUUUAAAGAAAGCGUAAUAGCUCACUGGUCGAGUCGGCCUGCGCGGAAGAUGUAACGGGGCUAAACCAUGCACCGAAGCUGCGGCAGCGACGCUUAUGCGUUGUUGGGUAGGGGAGCGUUCUGUAAGCCUGCGAAGGUGUGCUGUGAGGCAUGCUGGAGGUAUCAGAAGU